rnacentral:rRNA from 1 species
UACGUAGGGUGCGAGCGUUAAUCGGAAUUACUGGGCGUAAAGCGUGCGCAGGCGGUUCGUUGUGUCGGCGGUGAAAGCCCCGGGCUUAACCUGGGAAUGGCCGGUGAAACUGGCGAACUGGAGUGUGGCAGAGGGGGGUGGAAUUCCGCGUGUAGCAGUGAAAUGCGUAGAGAUGCGGAGGAACACCGAUGGCGAAGGCAGCCCCCUGGGCUGACACUGACGCUCAGGCACGAAAGCGUGGGGAGCAAACAGG